rnacentral:lncRNA from 1 species
UUCGAACGCCGUCCCAAGUUUACCCGGAACUACUUAGCCCAGGGUUUCCUAAGUGCUCCUCGGGCCAAAAGCAGAGCGCACAAAUUCCGGAAGAAAUUACCAACGGCGGGACCAUUUCAGUGCUCCGAGAAGUAUCACCAGUAACCAAUAAGCAAAAAGCUCUAGCUCACGUGGUGUAUAUUCAGCCUAUCAAGCUCCUGAUAUUCAUGAAUGCUGUCAUUUCCGCUCCCGCCUCCUUCUUUCUCGACAAGAUGGCCACACCGGCGGUACCAGUAAGUGCUCCUCCGGCCACGCCAGCCCCAGUCCCGGCGGCGGCCCCAGCCUCGGCCCCAGCCUCAGUUCCAGCGCCAACGCCAGCACCGGCUGCGGCUCCGGUUCCCGCUGCGGCUCCAGCCUCAUCCUCAGACCCUGCGGCAGCAGCGGCUACAACUGCGGCUCCUGGCCAGACCCCGGCCUCAGCGCAAGCUCCAGCGCAGACCCCAGCGCCCGCUCUGCCUGGUCCUGCUCUUCCAGGGCCCUUCCCCGGCGGCCGCGUGGUCAGGCUGCACCCAGUCAUUUUGGCCUCCAUUGUGGACAGCUACGAGAGACGCAACGAGGGUGCUGCCCGAGUUAUCGGGACCCUGUUGGGAACUGUCGACAAACACUCAGUGGAGGUCACCAAUUGCUUUUCAGUGCCGCACAAUGAGUCAGAAGAUGAAGU